rnacentral:rRNA from 1 species
GGCGGACGGGUGAGUAACACGUAGGGCAACUAGCCCUAGCAGAUCGGGAUAACUCCGGGAAACCGGUGCUAAUACCGAAUAGUUUUUGGUCCCUCCUGGGACCAAACGGAAAGACGGUUUCGGCUGUCACUGCAGGAUGGGCCCGCGGCGCAUUAGCUAGUUGGUGGGGUAACGGCCCACCAAGGCGACGAUGCGUAGCCGACCUGAGAGGGUGAUCGGCCACACUGGGACUGAGACACGGCCCAGACUCCUACGGGAGGCAGCAGUAGGGAAUCUUCCGCAAUGGACGCAAGUCUGACGGAGCAACGCCGCGUGAGUGACGAAGGUUUUCGGAUCGUAAAACUCUGUUGUGAGGGAAGAACAAGUGCCACGUAACUACUGGCACCUUGACGGUACCUCACCAGAAAGCCACGGCUAACUACGUGCCAGCCGCCGCGG